rnacentral:rRNA from 1 species
UACGUAGGGGCCAAGCGUUGUCCGGAAUUAUUGGGCGUAAAGAGCUCGUAGGUGGUUUGUCGCGUUGUCCGUGAAAACUCACAACUCAAUUGUGGGCGUGCGGGCGAUACGGGCAGACUGGAGUACUGCAGGGGAGACUGGAAUUCCUGGUGUAGCGGUGGAAUGCGCAGAUAUCAGGAGGAACACCGAUGGCGAAGGCACGAUCGUCUGGCCGUAACUGACGCUGAGGAGCGAAAGCAUGGGGAGCGAACAGG